rnacentral:lncRNA from 1 species
CUCACAUCUAACACUACUACCCAGGAAAGUGCUGGGAGGUAGAGUGGGCAGCCCACCCACAACACCCCCCAAACACUGAGUCAGAGGAUUUAUUUUCAACUGCAUGUGUGAGCUAUUUGGCAGGAUCAGGCAGAAAAUUUGCAGCCACAAUUAUCACGGCCUAAGAGUAUCGGAUGGCUUGUGCCAGUGGUUCUCUGGGUGUGGUGCCCAAUCAGUAACAGCAUGAACCUCCACCUUGUGAGAUAUGCAGAUUAUUUUUUGCCCCCCCGCCCCACCCCCUUUCCCCCAACGACUGAAUCAGAAACUGGGGGUGGAGCCCAACAAGCUGUGUUUUGUUUUUUGUGUUUUUCUGAGACAGGGUCUCGCUCUGUUGCCCAGGCUGGAGUGCGGUGGUGCGAUCUCGGCUCACUGCAGCCUUGAAUUCCAGGCUCAAGCGAUAUUCCCACCUCAGCCUCUUGAGUAGCUGGGACUACAGGUGAGUACCACCAAGCCCAGUUAUUUUUAAAAUGAUUUUUAUAGAGACGGGAUCUCACUAUGUUGCCUAGGCUGGUCUCGAACUCCUAGGCUCAAGAGAUCCUCCUGCCUCGACCUCUCAAAGUGCUGGGAUUACAGGUGUGAACCUCUGUCCGGCCAAUAAGCUGUGUUUUAACAAGUGCUCAGGGUGGUUCUGCUGCAGGGAACUACUGGCUGAUGGAUACAUGGAUUCCGUUAUCCACCCAUUCAUUGAUUCCUGCAUUCACUCAUCCAACCCUAAAGGAAGUAACCAAAACAAAGACAAUUCCAUGUGUAGAAUUCCUAGCGCUGUCAGCUAAAAUGAAAGUUUCUUCAAGAUGGGCCUCCAGGGCUAUUGCAAAACAGCUGCUGAUGGAAGGAAAUUCCACUUGCUGUGCCUUAUACCAGGCCGGGAGUGUCACAAGAGCCCUUUACAAGCUGCUCCCACACUGACCAAAAUUGUCUUCUCGUGAGUGCAAAGCAGGCAAGUCCAAGGGGCUCAGGUUAGCAUGGU